GCCCGCUUUCCCUUCCCAGGAACCGGGCAGAUAAGGAUUUGCAUGACCGCAGAGUGCUUGCAAAUUCGUGCCUCCGGCUCCUGCGGAGUGUCCGACGGGGCUUCCGGACUGUUUUAAGAUUCGCUGGGAGGGGUCGGUGGUCGAGGACCCACUGCGCCGUAGGAUUCCGGAGUGAGGGCUCCCCAUCUUCCGCCUGACCCUAGUGUCCGGUCGCCUGCCUUACUGUGUGAGCUGCAGUGUAUUCAGCUGUAAAUCGGAUAACACCGUGGGCCAUUUCGUUUAUGAAGCUGUUUCCCAACGACCACUGAUGACCCUGACCUCUAAUGUAUUAUCAGUACAUUGGAAAAAUAAAUGAUCGUCUUUUUGGUGUGUUUUA